AGCUCCAAUAGCGUAUAUUAAAGUUGUUGCAGUUAAAAAGCUCGUAGUUGGAUUGGUGUUAGUCACGUUUUUGCAGGUAAUUUUCCUAAAAGAACAUGAUUAAUAUAUUUGGGAUUUGAUCUAGAAUGGCAUUAAGUUGUUGAUUUAGUUUCAGCCCAUCGUUUACUGUGAAAAAAUUAGAGUGUUUAAAGCAGGUUAUUUAACCGUUGAAUACAUUAGCAUGGAAUAAUAAAAUAUGACUCGUAUGGUCUAUUUUGUUGGUUUGCACGUAUGAGUAAUGAUUAAUAGGGACAGUUGGGGGUAUUUAUAUUAUAGCGUCAGAGGUGAAAUUCUUAGAUCGCUGUAGGAUAAACUAAGGCGAAAGCAUUUACCAAGGAUGUUUUCAUUA
rnacentral:rRNA from 1 species